UGCAGUGGGUACGGGCAGACUAGAGUGCAGUAGGGGAGACUGGAAUUCCUGGUGUAGCGGUGAAAUGCGCAGAUAUCAGGAGGAACACCGAUGGCGAAGGCAGGUCUCUGGGCUGUUACUGACGCUGAGGAGCGAAAGCAUGGGGAGCGAACAGGAUUAGAUACCCUGGUAGUCCAUGCCGUAAACGUUGGGCACUAGGUGUGGGGGACAUUCCACGUUUUCCGCGCCGUAGCUAACGCAUUAAGUGCCCCGCCUGGGGAGUACGGCCGCAAGGCUAAAACUCAAAGGAAUUGACGGGGGCCCGCACAAGCGGCGGAGCAUGCGGAUUAAUUCGAUGCAACGCGAAGAACCUUACCAAGGCUUGACAUUCACCGGACCGCCCCAGAGAUGGGGUUUCCCUUCGGGGCUGGUGGACAGGUGGUGCAUGGUUGUCGUCAGCUCGUGUCGUGAGAUGUUGGGUUAAGUCCCGCAACGAGCGCAACCCUCGUUCUAUGUUGCCAGCACGUGAUGGUGGGGACUCAUAGGAGACUGCCGGGGUCAACUCGGAGGAAGGUGGGGAUGACGUCAAAUCAUCAUGCCCCUUAUGUCUUGGGCUUCACGCAUGCUACAAUGGCCGGUACAAAGGGUUGCGAUACUGUGAGGUGGAGCUAAUCCCAAAAAGCCGGUCUCAGUUCGGAUUGAGGUCUGCAACUCGACCUCAUGAAGUCGGAGUCGCUAGUAAUCGCAGAUCAGCAACGCUGCGGUGAAUACGUUCCCGGGCCUUGUACACACCGCCCGUCAAGUCACGAAAGUUGGUAACACCCGAAGCCGGUG
rnacentral:rRNA from 1 species